UACGAAGGGGGCUAGCGUUGCUCGGAAUUACUGGGCGUAAAGCGCACGUAGGCGGAUUGUUAAGUCGGUGGUGAAAUCCUGGAGCUCAACUCCAGAACUGCCUUCGAAACUGGCAAUCUUGAGUCCGGGAGAGGUGAGUGGAACUGCGAGUGUAGAGGUGAAAUUCGUAGAUAUUCGCAAGAACACCAGUGGCGAAGGCGGCUCACUGGCCCGGUACUGACGCUGAGGUGCGAAAGCGUGGGGAGCAAACAGG
rnacentral:rRNA from 1 species